UACGUAGGGGGCGAGCGUUGUCCGGAUUUAUUGGGCGUAAAGAGCUCGUAGGCGGUUCGGUAAGUCAGGUGUAAAAACUCCAGGCUCAACUUGGAGAGGCCACCUGAUACUGCCGUGACUAGAGUCCGGUAGAGGAGCACGGAAUUCCUGGUGUAGCGGUGAAAUGCGCAGAUAUCAGGAGGAACACCGGUGGCGAAGGCGCCACUCUGGGCCGAAACUGACGCUGAGGAGCGAAAGCGUGGGUAGCAAACAGG
rnacentral:rRNA from 1 species